rnacentral:rRNA from 1 species
GACGAACGCUGGCGGCGUGCUUAACACAUGCAAGUCGAACGGAAAGGCCUCUUUCGGGGGGUACUCGAGUGGCGAACGGGUGAGUAACACGUGAGUAACCUGCCCUUGACUCUGGGAGAACUCCAGGGAACUCUGGCUAAUAUCGGAUAGGAGCUCCUGCUGCAUGGUGGGGGGGUGAAAGUUUCGGCGGGUGGGGGUGGACUCGCGGCUUAUCAGCUUGUGGGUGGGGGAGUGGCUUACCAAGGCUUUGACGGGUAGCCGGCCUGAGAGGGUGACCGGCCACAUUGGGACUGGGAUACGGCCCAGACUCCUACGGGGGGGAACAGUGGGGAAUAUUGCACAAUGGGUGGGAGGCUGAUGCAACAACGCCGUGUGCGGGAUGACGGCCUUCGGGUUGUAAACCGCUUUCGCUCAUGACGGAGCUUUGUGUGACGGUAGUGGGUAAAGAAGCACCGGCUAACUACGUG